rnacentral:rRNA from 1 species
UACAGAGGGUGCGAGCGUUAAUCGGAAUAACUGGGCGUAAAGGGUGCGUAGGUGGUGAUUUAAGUGCGUUGUGAAAGCCCCGGGCUUAACCUGGGAACGGCAACGCAUACUGGGUCACUGGAGUAGGUGAGAGGAGAGUGGAAUUUCCGGUGUAGCGGUGAAAUGCGUAGAGAUCGGAAAGAACACCAGUGGCGAAGGCGACUCUCUGGCACCAUACUGACACUGAGGCACGAAAGCGUGGGGAUCAAACAGG